rnacentral:rRNA from 1 species
GGGGAAUUUUCCGCAAUGGGCGAAAGCCUGACGGAGCAAUACCGCGUGAGGGAUGACGGCCUAUGGGUUGUAAACCUCUUUUUUCAGGGAGGAAUCAAUGACGUGUACCUGAAGAAUAAGCAUCGGCUAACUCCGUGCCAGCAGCCGCGGUAAGACGGAGGAUGCAAGUGUUAUCCGGAAUCACUGGGCGUAAAGCGUCUGUAGGUGGUUUGAUAAGUCAACUGUUAAAUCUUGAGGCUCAACCUCAAAACCGCAGUCGAAACUAUUAGACUAGAGUAUAGUAGGGGUAAAGGGAAUUUCCAGUGGAGCGGUGAAAUGCGUAGAUAUUGGAAAGAACACCGAUGGCGAAGGCACUUUACUGGGCUAUUACUAACACUCAGAGACGAAAGCUAGGGUAGCAAAUGGGAUUAGAUACCCCAGUAGUC